AGCAGACGCGUGUCUUUGAUGUUAACAAUGUAAAAGAAGUUUUCUCCUCAAAGUCUAGAUCCAGCAAUUCUUCCUCGCUUCAUACCUAUUUUAAGUAAAAAAAAUUUCUCCUCCAUCUGAUAUUCUGGCAGAAAAUUAGGGGCUAUUCAGAGAAGAUUUAUUCCGCAAUCUUUGAAAUAUUUCUGCAUCGCAGGAUGAAAAUCUAUGUAAACAAAAAUCUAUUAAGAAGGAAUGGAAGAAGAACAUCCAGUGGUGGUAAUAAUCUCGGUCAAUUUUGUUUUUCGAUUUGAACCCUAACAAUUUCAUUUUGGGCGGGAUGAAAUCAAACGAAAAUUCUUUUGGGAGGGAUUCCUGCUUGGCGUUUUGGAACAACUAUAAGUUCAACCCUAAGCAAUUCAGAGAUGUGAGAGAUAUAUCUUUUUUGGGGGAUUAGUAGUUCAGAGAUCAAAAAACAUCCAAGCCUACACAACACAAACUUCUAGCAACAUGUAGCUUAAAAUUCGAUAAGCUGACAAACUUCUAGCUUAAAAACAACAUGUGUUUUUGUUUGUUUAUUCGAAAUGGAGGAGCUGUUACCCAUCUUUUUUUCUAGAAACAAAUGGGAUACAGUGAAGGAUGUUAUCUCCCUGGAUGGCAACUAGUCUGAAUAGUGAGGAAGUUGCGGCUUUUUAACAACAACUUGGAUGACUGAGCUUCUUCUCAAUGCAUCGACAGUUUGCAUAGUUCUAGAGAUGUUCCCCCAAAAGUUGAAUUGUUGGGCAGAGUUUAAGAAUUCUUUGCGACUCUAACAAUGUUGCAGGCUAAAGGAAUUAAUGUUCCCAACAAUUUAGGGUAUUGGGAUCCCAGGGACACCUUCGUCCUUUGGUCUUUUGCUGUUUGAGGAACUUCAGGAAAAAGGCUGUUGCACUUGCAAGUUACUGAUGGAUGACCACUACGACUUCAUGAUUGAGGAAAUCUUUGAUCCAAGUGCGAUGUUGUGACAUAGAGAUGAUGAUGUUGUGCUUGGGGAUGUUUCAAGAGGUGAGUUUACCAAGUGGCCCAAGACCUAUGCAACUACUGUAGCCUGUAGGAGAGCGAUCAAGUUAGAGUUGCAGUGACAGCAGAUUGAUCACUUUUUAAAUUUUCAAGAUGUAACUUGGAGUUGGAGUUGUUAGGAUAUGUCUUCCAUUUAUGUUCGAAUAUUCUAUUUUCUUUAGAAAAUAGUUAUAAAGUUAAUUAAUAAAGUCAAUUUGUUUAAUA